rnacentral:rRNA from 1 species
UUCCGGUUGAUCCUGCCGGAGGUUACUGCUAUCGGUGUUCGCCUAAGCCAUGCGAGUCAUAUGUAGCAAUACAUGGCGUACUGCUCAGUAACACGUGGAUAACCUGCCCUUGGGACCAGCAUAACCCCGGGAAACUGGGGAUAAUUCCGGAUAACGCAUAUGUGCUGGAAUGCUCUAUGCGUAAAAUGGAUUCGUCUGCCCAAGGAUGGGUCUGCGGCCUAUCAGGUAGUAGUGGGUGUAAUGUACCUACUAGCCAGCGACGGGUACGGGUUGUGAGAGCAAGAGCCCGGAGAUGGAUUCUGAGACAUGAAUCCAGGCCCUACGGGGCGCAGCAGGCGCGAAAACUUUACAAUGCGGGAAACCGUGAUAAGGGGACACCGAGUGCCAGCAUCAUAUGCUGGCUGUCCAGGUGUGUAAAAUACACCUGUUAGCAAGGGCCGGGCAGGACCGGUGCCAGCCGCCGCGGUAACACCGGCGGCCCGAGUGGUGAUCGUGAUUAUUGGGUCUAAAGGGUCCGUAGCCGGUUUGGUCAGUCCUCCGGGAAAUCUGAUAGCUUAACUAUUAGGCUUUCGGGGGAUACUGCCAGACUUGGAACCGGGAGAGGUAAGAGGUAC